GAUGAGCGCUAGCGACAGGCUUAACACAUGCAAGUCGAGGGGCAGCAUAAAAGUAGCAAUACUUUGGUGGCGACCGGCGCACGGGUGAGUAACGCGUAUGCAACCUACCUAUCAGAGGGGAAUAACCCGGCGAAAGUCGGACUAAUACCGCAUAAAACAGGGGCACCGCAUGGUGAUAUUUGUUAAAGAAAUUCGCUGAUAGAUGGGCAUGCGUUCCAUUAGGUAGUUGGUGAGGUAACGGCUCACCAAGCCGACGAUGGAUAGGGGAACUGAGAGGUUGGUCCCGCACACGGGUACUGAGACACGGACCAGACUCCUACGGGAGGAAGUAGUGAGGAAUAUUGGUCAAUGGGCGAGAGCCUGAACCAGCCAAGUCGCGUGAAGGAAGAAGGAUCUAUGGUUCGUAAACUUCUUUUGCAGGGGAAUAAAGUGCGGGACGUGUCCUGUUUUGUAUGUACCCUGAGAAUAAGGAUCGGCUAACUCCGUGCCAGCAGCCGCCGUAAGAC
rnacentral:rRNA from 1 species